AAAUUAAAUGUCAAUGUGUUGCUUUCGUUAGAUGCCAUCGAAAGCGACCUAUGCUAUACGUACUCUUGCAUACUUUCGUAUACUAAAUAAAAUUAACAAUUUCACGUAAUACUAACUGGCAAAAACAACAGAAGCAGUUUCAGUCAAGCUCUAAAGAAGCCAACAGGAUGAUUGGCGAAACGUCAGCAAAUUCGACUCAGCAAAAACCGAGGCAGGAGGAAUCCGGACGUUUUAUAAAAAGAACCAGUAAAAAAGUUGAAAUUGGAUACAUCAAUUAACACAAAUGUUGCCACAAUCUCAAGCAAUAUCCUGCAAUUUAGUGCAGUGGGAUAAAAUGGUGGUACAUUCCUUAAAAAUAAAAGGUUUCGCCCACUGAUAAAUUAUAAUUUUCGCCAAAACAAAAUAACUUAUUUACGUUCUUCACUGGCUUAUCAGCCUGUAUUAUUUCCGGUCACGAUUUGUGAUUCACCGUGUAUAUGUACCAUAUGACUUCCCGUGCCUUUUUAACAAAGAUUCUUAUAUAAAAAACCUUACCGAAAAGACUCCCAUCCUCUCCCACUUUGGCAAAGGUUAUAAGUUUAAUUUUGGGCCGUCAUUUGUGAAUCAUUUGUGUAUACACCACACAACAAUGGUUCGAGGAUAUUUUGCACCAAAGCAAAUGCUUUUGUAAGGAGCAAGCGGUUCUGUCAUAAAUAGGCGAGCUUCGAUACACUUGAGUCCCUUUCCUGAGCCCUAAUAUAUGUGUUACGGAUAAGAUAACUCGUAAAUGAUAAAUUUAACCAUGUAACUAAAGUUAUUUAUAGGUUUUCUUUAUUUAUUAAACACUUCAAAAUUUGCUUUAGCCUUUCAUUUUGCCUUUUUGAAUUGUUGACGUACUCUGUCUUGUUCUAUUAUAGUCUAUCUAAAAUUCUUGGUAAAAAUAUUUUCCGAACAGAAAUAAGUGCAAAUUUUAAAUAUACUGGGUGAUUCAAAUUGAACUUUCAAUUGAA